rnacentral:snRNA from 1 species
CUGCACAUGCACAUAUACUAAAAUUGGAACCAUACAGAGAAGAUUAGCAUGGCCCCUGUGCAAGAAUGACAACACAAUUUUGUGAAGCAUUUCAUAUAUAU